CAGCCGCCGCGGGAACACGGAGGGUGCAAGCGUUAAUCGGAAUUACUGGGCGUAAAGCGCACGCAGGCGGUUUGUUAAGUCAGGUGUGAAAGCCCUGGGCUCAACCUGGGAAUUGCAGUGGAUACUGGGUCACUAGAGUGUGGUAGAGGAUAGUGGAAUUUCCGGUGUAGCAGUGAAAUGCGUAGAGAUCGGAAGGAACAUCUGUGGCGAAGGCGACUAUCUGGGCCAACACUGACACUGAGGCACGAAAGCGUGGGGAGCAAACAGGAUUAGAUACCCGGGUAGUCCCUGUCUCUUAUAC
rnacentral:rRNA from 1 species